GAUGAACGCUGGCGGCGUGCUUAACACAUGCAAGUCGAACGGAAAGGCCGAAGCUUGCUUCGGUACUCGAGUGGCGAACGGGUGGGUAACACGUGGGUGAUCUGCCCUGUACUUCGGGAUAAGCUUGGGAAACUGGGUCUAAUACCGGAUAUGACGAUCUCUUGGAUGGGGUUGUGGAAAGCUUUUGCGGUAUGGGAUGAGCUCGCGGCCUAUCAGCUUGUUGGUGGGGUAAUGGCCUACCAAGGCGUCGACGGGUAGCCGGCCUGAGAGGGUGUACGGCCACAUUGGGACUGAGAUACGGCCCAGACUCCUACGGGAGGCAGCAGUGGGGAAUAUUGCACAAUGGGCGCAAGCCUGAUGCAGCGACGCCGCGUGGGGGAUGACGGCCUUCGGGUUGUAAACUCCUUUCGCAAUCGACGAAGCCUUUUGGUGACGGUAGGUUGAGAAGAAGCACCGGCUAACUACGUG
rnacentral:rRNA from 1 species